UUCUCCACACAGACUUGACCUGUUAAAAAGGUAAGUAGAAAUUUUUGAAUGCAUCUCUUGCCAUUUCUUUUGAUGUUAGUUAAUUCUAGAGUCUAAUAAGAGCAUCUGCACCACCAGUUUAUUCCUAAAAUACAGACAAAAUAUCACUAUCAAAAAGCACCGAAGCACACGCUCAAAGCGUGAAGUGAGGGGGGAGCUCACGGAUCGUGACUCGGCCCCCCUCACCUCUCGCGACUCGCUUCGUCGCGGUUGGACAGGUGCAGGCGUGCGUUUUUGGCAAAGCACAAAGCGCGAAUUAGCAUGCAUUGGACCUUUUCUUGGGCUUUGAAGCCCAACGUGAGAAACGAAAUAUAUAUAUAGAAAAACAGAAAAGCAAAUUAUCUCAAUAUUCUAGUCGAUCUACUGAUUGCCCUAGACACAGAAGUCUCUUUGUCAAAUUUAUCUCGGAAUUGGAUCCCAAUAGUAGCUGCUGCCCAAAGGUGCUUUAUGAAAGCCGGUCCACAGCAGUGAAAGUACGAUGGAUUCCGUCGAUCGAACGAAAACCGCUUCUUGCUUGCGCAGGACAGUGAAUAUUUGAAUUGGAGGAAGAUUUGUGAAUGAGAUGCGAAUCCUUGUGCAUCCUCAACGACGACGGACGUAGCCAGCGAUUCUGACCCAACGUUGACACCAGUCCAGAGGUGUUAAGAUGUAAUCAUUCAGCGGAAACCAGUUUUUGGUUACAUAUGCAUCUGAUGGUAUUGAUCGAGCCAAAAAUUCUCAUUUCGAGCUUCUCAGACUAUCAUUGGGAAGGUAUAGAUCUUUUUCACAAACUCACCUCUAGAUUUCACCUUGCUUCAUGAGGAUCAAUCUUUCAACUUUAUAAAGUCGUUUGUUAUACUUUGAACCAGUACAGAGAAAGCCAAAAAUGUUAUCUUCUGUCAUUAUACCAAAAACAUAAAUGGCUUUGCUGCAAUGCCUCAAAAGGAAAAAAGCAAUAUAGAUUCUGAAUGUUGUUUCGGUUUAACUAAGCAAGGAAAGAAAAUUGCAGAGGCAUGGUCAUGGGUUUCCUUGGACAAGAGACAGGGGAGAAAUUCCAAGGAGCUCAAUUUUGAAGAAGACAAGGUUUGGUGAAGGCACGAUCAUCCAAAUCUCGACUU